GCUGGGCGCAGUGGCCCACACCUGUAAUCCCAGCAGCUCAGGAGGCCGAGGCAGGAGGAUCGCGAGUUCAAAGCCAGCCUCAGCAAAAGCGAGGUGCUAAGCAACUCAGUGAGACCCUGUCUCUA
rnacentral:sRNA from 1 species